rnacentral:rRNA from 1 species
UACGAAGGGGGCUAGCGUUGCUCGGAAUCACUGGGCGUAAAGGGUGCGUAGGCGGGUCUUUAAGUCAGAGGUGAAAUCCUGGAGCUCAACUCCAGAACUGCCUUUGAUACUGAGGAUCUUGAGUUCGGGAGAGGUGAGUGGAACUGCGAGUGUAGAGGUGAAAUUCGUAGAUAUUCGCAAGAACACCAGUGGCGAAGGCGGCUCACUGGCCCGAUACUGACGCUGAGGCACGAAAGCGUGGGGAGCAACAGG